rnacentral:rRNA from 1 species
GCCGCAAGGUUGAAACUCAAAGGAAUUGACGGGGGCCCGCACAAGCAGUGGAGUAUGUGGUUUAAUUCGACGCAACGCGAAGAACCUUACCAGGGCUUGACAUCCUCUGACGGCAGUAGAGAUACUGCUUUCCCUUCGGGGACAGAGAGACAGGUGGUGCAUGGUUGUCGUCAGCUCGUGUCGUGAGAUGUUGGGUUAAGUCCCGCAACGAGCGCAACCCCUAUUGCCAGUUGCCAGCAGGUUAAGCUGGGCACUCUGGCGAGACUGCCGUUGACAAAACGGAGGAAGGUGGGGACGACGUCAAAUCAUCAUGCCCCUUAUGUCCUGGGCUACACACGUACUACAAUGGCAACAACAGAGGGCAGCCAAACCGCGAGGUUGAGCGAAUCCCAAAAUGUUGUCUCAGUUCAGAUUGCAGGCUGCAACUCGCCUGCAUGAAGUCGGAAUUGCUAGUAAUGGCAGGUCAGCAUACUGCCGUGAAUACGUUCCCGGGCCUUGUACACACCGCCCGUCACACCAUGAGAGUCUGUAACACCCGAAGUCAGUAGUUUAACCGUAA